UGUGAAUUCAGUAUGUGAAAUUGCAAGCGGUUCGCCACUUGGCAUUGAAUACGCGUUGUGACUCGCUUUACAACUCAGCGCUAACUAAAUUAUACUAAAUUCCUUUUCCCGCUAAUAUACUUGAAGCUACUCAACACAAAAAAAAGGUUGGAGCAUAACAAUAUGUCGUGUCCUUAACAGCGAGCCGUUAACAACAGCAUGUCAGCUAAUAUAUAGCAUUCUGCCGCAAGACAUAAGCCACUGACAACGCAAACAGAUACAUGAGCCACAAUGCAACGAGAGAUUUAGUGAUCAGCAAUGUGAGCAA